GAGUUUGAUCCUGGCUCAGAACGAACGCUGGCGGCGUGCUUAACACAUGCAAGUCAGGGAGAAAGUCUCUUCGGGGAUGAUUAAACCGGCGCACGGGUGAGUAACACGUGAGUGACCUGCCUUUUAGACUGGAACAACUUACCGAAAGGUGAGCUAAUGCCGGAUGAGUUAUAUAAGUGCAUGUUUAUAUAGGAAAAGUUGGGGAGACCUGGCGCUGAAAGAUGGACUCGCGUCCCAUUAGCUAGUUGGUAGGGUAAUGGCCUACCAAGGCGACGAUGGGUAGCCGGCCUGAGAGGGUGGCCGGCCACACUGGGACUGAGACACGGCCCAGACUCCUACGGGAGGCAGCAGUGGGGAAUUUUGCGCAAUGCUCGUAAGAGUGACGCAGCGACGCCGCGUGAAUGACGAAGGCCUUCGGGUCGUAAAGUUCUUUCGACAGGGAAGAAAAUGCCUAUAAGUAACUGUGUAUGUAUUGACGGUACCUGUAUAAGCAGCCCCGGCUAACUCCGUGCCAGCAGCCGCGGUAAUACGGAGGGGGCGAGCGU
rnacentral:rRNA from 1 species